UGGGGAAUUUUGGACAAUGGGCGAAAGCCUGAUCCAGCAAUGCCGCGUGUGUGAAGAAGGCCUUCGGGUUGUAAAGCACUUUUGUCCGGAAAGAAAUCCUUGGCUCUAAUACAGUCGGGGGAUGACGGUACCGGAAGAAUAAGCACCGGCUAACUACGUGCCAGCAGCCGCGGUAAUACGUAGGGUGCAAGCGUUAAUCGGAAUUACUGGGCGUAAAGCGUGCGCAGGCGGUUUGCUAAGACCGAUGUGAAAUCCCCGGGCUCAACCUGGGAACUGCAUUGGUGACUGGCAGGCUAGAGUAUGGCAGAGGGGGGUAGAAUUCCACGUGUAGCAGUGAAAUGCGUAGAGAUGUGGAGGAAUACCGAUGGCGAAGGCAGCCCCCUGGGCCAAUACUGACGCUCAUGCACGAAAGCGUGGGGAGCAAAACAGGAUUAGAUACCCUGGUAGUCCACGCCCUAAAACGAUGUCAACUAGUUGUUGGGGAUUCGUUUCCUUAGUAACGUAGCUAACGCGUGAAGUUGACCGCCUGGGGAGUACGGUCGCAAGAUUAAAACUUAAAGGAAUUGACGGGGUCAUAGCUGUUUCCU
rnacentral:rRNA from 1 species